UGAUUCUGACGCUCAGUCAGGCUUGGGAGCCAUCAGCCUGGUCUCUAAGCUCCUUGUAGCCCCCUAGGCUGCCAUUCCGUGUGGGGACCACGCUGCCUGUCUCUCUGUUCUCCCCUCCCUCUGGCAGCACCACCUCGCUCUGCCUCCCAGCCUGGGCCAGUUGGAAGGAAGAACGACUUUCCGAGAGUCUAACAGGAAUCUUGCCAGAAGCCUUGAGGCAAUCACAAGCUCCAUGGGAACUGCUCCCAUUUUCUACUGGGGACGAGGCACUGCUCAGCUGGGGAGAUUCAAGCUGAUGUGAUCCUUCCAGAUGGGCUGCGUGGAUAGACGCAUACACGAGAAAAUUACUUUUGUUCUCCUUGAAAAGGAAGCUAAGGCUGAGUGAAGUAACAGAGGUCCUGUAACUGCCAAGUGCAGAGCUAGCAUUCGACCCCAGGCCUGACUUACUCUGAAACCUGUCCUCUACCUACGGUGCUGAACUGUUUCCAGGAGGCCGAAAGACGGGUGGACAUGCUGACUACUACAACAGUCCAGGAGAAAGAAGGGAGGGGGCUGGAGAGGACUCGCUCGAGGCUGUGUUGGAGAGAGGAAGAGACUGGAUGCAAAAUGAGGAAGCUGACCAUUCUCCUGAUUCAACGAGUCUGUUCUAGGAUGUUAUACAAAUGGAGUCACACAGUGUAACCUUUGGGGAUUGGCUUAUUUCACUCAGCAUGGUUCUCUGGAGAUUUAUCCGGGUUGUUGUGUGCAUCGAUGGUUCAUCCCUUCGUACUGCUGAGUACUAUUUCAUGGUAGGAUAUGCCACAGUUUAUUUAAACACUCCUCUGUUGAAGGACAACUGAGUCAUUUCCAGUUUGGUGCUGUUACAAAUAAAGCUGCUA